GGGGAAUAUUGCACAAUGGAGGAAACUCUGAUGCAGCGACGCCGCGUGAGCGAUGAAGGCUUUCGAGUCGUAAAGCUCUGUCCUAGGGGACGAUAAUGACGGUACCCUAGGAGGAAGCCCCGGCUAACUACGUGCCAGCAGCCGCGGUAAUACGUAGGGGGCGAGCGUUGUCCGGAAUUAUUGGGCGUAAAGGGUUCGCAGGCGGCCUUUUAAGUCAGAUGUGAAAGCCCACGGCUUAACCGUGGUAAGCAUUUGAAACUGGAAGGCUUGAGUUAAGGAGAGGAAAGUGGAAUUCCUAGUGUAGCGGUGAAAUGCGUAGAUAUUAGGAGGAAUACCAGUGGCGAAGGCGACUUUCUGGACUUAUACUGACGCUGAGGAACGAAAGCGUGGGGAGCAAAC
rnacentral:rRNA from 1 species